GCCAGGUGUGGUGGCUCACGCCUGUGAUCCCAGCACUUUGGGAGGCUGAGGUGGGAGGAUCACUUGAGCCCAGGAGUUUGAGACCAGCCUGGGCAACAUAGUGAGAUCUUAUCUCUA
rnacentral:SRP_RNA from 1 species